AGAGCUUCAAAAGCUUGAGGAAUAUUGCAUGAACUAGAAAUUCAUUGAUUUAAUGUACAAGGUUUCCAUUGGAGUAGCUUGUAAUCUUUCUUGGCCUGCUGACCGUCUCGUGAUCCAAGUCCUAGAUGAUUUCUACGGACCCCGUGGUUAAGCAAAUGGUGGAAAUGGAAUGUCAGAGAUGGGUGAGCAAAGGGAUAAACAUAAUGUACCAAA